rnacentral:rRNA from 1 species
UACGGAGGGAGCUAGCGUUGUUCGGAAUUACUGGGCGUAAAGCGCACGUAGGCGGCUAUUCAAGUCAGGGGUGAAAGCCCAGGGCUCAACCCUGGAAUUGCCUUCGAUACUGUUUGGCUAGAGACCGGAAGAGGUAAGUGGAACUGCGAGUGUAGAGGUGAAAUUCGUAGAUAUUCGCAAGAACACCAGUGGCGAAGGCGGCUUACUGGUCCGGUUCUGACGCUGAGGCGCGAAAGCGUGGGGAGCAAACAGG